GGAGAGAAUGAGCUUGGAGCCGCAGGGCUUAAUCCCGCGCGGCUCAGAGAUGGGUUUCUGGACUCGCGAAGCAGCUGCAACAAGGCAUCACUCACUGUAUAAGUAUUUCCAUUUCUGAGAGCAAAAGGAAGAACUUAAGCGGGCGGCACUUGGAGUGUAAAUUGCUUUGUAGUAUUUAAAGGCAGAAUGGAUCCUGGGCAGCCGAGCUGCAACAAACCGGCAGGACUUCCUGUGAAAUCAUGACCACCAUGUGCUCUUUCAGCCUCUAUCAGUUCCUACCUCUAAGCACCUGAGAGCCAAAGCAAACCACAGGAAACCACAGGUACUAACUCUUUUAGACCUGAUGAAGUGUCUCCCAAAUACAGUCUGGCAUGGGCAAAUUUAUGUUACUCUGGAAGUAGAGAAAAUCAUGAUGGCAGAUCGGAGGCAGGACUAAUCUGCAACUUCCACUGAGACAGACAGACCAGUGUGUGGAGACUCACAUCAUGAACUUUUGCUCCAAGAACUACUGCAGGACCAUACCAGGAAAGCUGAGAGAAUCCACAGAAGGAUCUUGAUCACCACCGCAGGCUCCCUGAGAUGCUGAAGAAAACUUACUCAAACUAAACGUCAGCUUUUCCCGGCUCUCAAGCCUGCUGGUCCCUGAACUAAAACUCACAUUAUCAACUCUACUGGUUCUUAGGCCUUUGGAGUCAGACUGGAACUACAGCAUUGACUCUUCCGGAACUCCAGCUUACUGACUACAGAUCUUGGAACUUUUCAGCUUCCACAACCAUAAUGAAAGCCAAGCAUAUUCCAUCAUUUCCUAAAACCAAGAUAGAGCACAUAUGGGAACUUGUGAAAUAAGGAUGCCCUGCGGUUGUUUUCAGGACUGAAGACAACAGCUCCACGAUGUAUCUUUGCAUAAGAAUACACUUGAAACCAAAGCACAAAGAGAGAAAGAAAAGAAAGAGAAAAAAGGAAGAAAGAA
rnacentral:lncRNA from 1 species